rnacentral:lncRNA from 1 species
GACCCCAAAGAUGCUAAAGGGAUCCCAAACACUAAAAGGGACCUCAAAGGUGCCAAAGGGACCCCAAAGGUGCUAAAGGGACCCCAAAGGUGCCAAAGGGACCCCAAAAGGGACCCCAAAGAUACUAAAGGGACCCCAAAAACAUGAAAAGUGACCCCAAAGAUGCCAAAGGGACCCCAAAAACACCAAAGGGACCCCAAAGGUGCCAGAGGGACCCCAAAGGUGCCAAAGGGACCCCAAAACCACCAAAAGGGACCCCCAAAGGGACCCCAAAAACAGAGAGACCCCAGAGAGACCCCAAAUAGAGACCCCCAAAACCAGACCCCAAAGAGAGACCCCAAAGAGAGACCCCAAAUAGAAACCCCAAAGAGAGACCCCAGCGCCAGCGGGCUGCGGGCACCCCGAAAGGGGGUCAGAGAGGGGACCCCAAAAACAGACCCCAAACACAGAGAGACAGACCCCAAAUAGAGACCCCCAAAACCAGACCCCAAAGAGAGACCCCAAAUAGAGACCCCAGCGCCAGCGGGCUGCGGGCACCCCGAAAGGGGGUCAGAGAGGGGACCCCAAAAACAGAGAGACCCCAGAGAGACCCCAAACACAGAGAGAGAGACCCCAAAUAGAGACCCCCAAAACCAGACCCCAAAUACAGACCCCAAAUAGA